rnacentral:rRNA from 1 species
GACGAACGCUGGCGGCGUGCUUAACACAUGCAAGUCACGGGGGCUCGCAAGAGCAACCGGCGAACGGGUGCGUAACACGUGAGCAACCUACCGAUUUGUGGGGGAUAGCUGGCCUAACGG